rnacentral:tRNA from 1 species
CAGAACGUAGCUUAACCAAAGCAUCUCGCUUACACCGAGAAAAUGCCUAUUAAACCUAGGUCGCUCUGA